UGACGCCAACUUGGCUUAAAAAUUCCGAGCACCGACACACGCUGUUUUAGAAAUCGGAAUCCGAUCAUAAAUCCGAUUUAUCAUCUGCACUUCUCCUUUAUAUAUAGAAGAGAAAACUCUGUUCUUGUUGUUGUUGUUGUUGUUGUUCGCGUUUUGAUUAUUGUCUUCCAUGGAUGUUGGAACCCUAAAUCGAUGUUGGUUGGUGAAACGCAAACAAGGUUGGACGAAACGAAAAAUUUCUCUGAGGUAAGUAAAGUUUCGUCUUUUUUCAAUUUUUAACUUGUUAAAUUCUCUAGGGUUUAGUUAAUUCUUCUGUUGAUUGUGUUUCUGUUUAUUAGCUUGUUUGUUUAUGUUUCUAAAGUCUUAAAUUUGCGAAAUUGCAACUUAACUCAAGUUUUUUAAACCCUAAUUCUGGAAUCUGGAUUAGGCGACCUUAAGGUGGACGGUUUUCUAUUCAGGGGUUUUGGUUGGUGUGUUCUGACUUUAAAUUUGAUUGCUUGCUUGCUUUUAUUUUUUUUUGUUAAUUUCUUCACACUACAUAACCUUUGUGUUAUUUGUUUUUGUUAUUAUUUGGCAUGAUGAUGAUGAUGAUAGUUGCAUAUGUUGGAUGGAGUAGACCGUUUAUGCUGAUUAUGUUAAUUGCAAUGAUAAAGGACCUAAUUGUAGGCUGGUAUAUGAAUAUAUUGUUUUAAUGGUUGGUAUAUGAAUUUAUAUAUUACACAGAUAGAUGUUAUUUGGGUUUGGGGAGUACGCAGAGAGUCAUCAUUCAUAUAGAAAUUAGAUUCUAUAUCUUUGUAUACAUAUAAAAGCAGGCGAAGCGGAAACAAUUAAAUUACUUGAUGUGAUGCUGCUUAUAAGCUUGAUGGGAUAAUUUCAUAUAUGUGUAGGUUGUGCUUGAUGGUCUGUUUGUUUGUUAAUGUUUUAUUAAAUGCUGUUGAUUUUAUAUCUAAUAUUCUUACUUUGAACAUGUCGUUAUGCACAUUAAAAAAUAUAGAUGAUGAAGCAGUUAACGAGGGAUGACUGAAAUAAUGUUGAAGCUUAAUGAGAAUGGGCUGGCCUGGGAUCAUCUCACAUCUCUAUAGGUUGUGCUUGACGACAUGUUCAAACUCAAGGUUUUUGGGUGGAUUUUAUGAAUUUUUGUAAUUAACGAUCUUUUGAUUUUGUUUUUGGUUCUCUUUUAGAAUGUUUCCAAGCAUGUCAUGCAUAGAUGAUGAAGCUUAUUGUGACUAAGCCUGAGGGAUCAUCUCACAUCUAUGUAGAUAAUGCUUGAUGACUUGCUUGAUAUCUCUUUUAUACAUUGUAUUUAUUGAUUUUUUGUUCAAGUUUAUUUACUAUUUUGAAGCCUGUCUCCAUGCAUGUCUUACAGCGAUGUGAAGAGUACGGUGGGAUAAUAAAAUUAUAUAUGAGUAGCUUGCUCUGACUAAGACCUGGGGAUCAUCUCAAAUCUCUGUAGACUUUGCUUUAUGACAGGCUUAUUUAUACAUGAGUAUAUUCUCUAUAUUUUUCAAAGUUAAUUUUCAAGUUUUUUUAUUUUUAUUUUCUAUUAUUAUAUUUUUUAUUUUAUAGUAAACUGAAUGAUCAGCAGUACAUUCAGUUUAAGCGAGGGUGUUAACGUUAAAGUUUGAAUAAGUCUGUCCAACAGUUGAGUAGGUCUCAAACAUGGAUAAGUGUUUUGCUAUUUCAUAGGAAUCUUAGUUGCCGAAGGAGUCGUAGUUGGUUUAUGAUUGUGGUGAUAGGUAUAUAUAUAUAUCAGUAGCUUACUUCGAGUAAGGCCUGGGGAUCACCUCACAUCUCUGUAGACUUUUCUUAGUGACAGGCAUAUAUUUUUGAGUUUUUUUCUAUAUAUUACAACGGAGGGGUUCGGUUUACACAAGAUUCUUACACAGAUUUAUACAUAAGAUCUGGAGCCUAGAUAUUAUUUAAUCCUACGGCUAUAAUUAAAGAAAAUAGUUUGCACAUAUUUUUUGCCUAAACUUAAGGAAUCAACUAAAUCAGCCGACUAGCUUAAGCCGAGUCGAUAUUUGGGUUAUAAUCUCUCUCUCUUCUUCUCACUUUCAUCUGAACUGAGAUUCUAGUUCUAUUGCUCUUUGGUGUGAAGCUUUUGUUCUUAUAUUCAAGAAUCUUCCCAGUUUGUUCUUUGAAAAUUCUUCUAAAUUUCAAGUGAAAUGGAUUGCUUAACGAAAAUAAUUGAACUCUUUCAAACUUCCUAGAAUUUCGACAAAAAUUUCAACAAUUUAUUUGGAAAGUAUGCAUUGCAGAUUAGCAGUCAUCACUUUAAUUCAAGCAUAAAGAGAUUAGAAAAAAAAAAACCAUCUUUUAGGUUGCUUUCAAUAGGUAGCAAGCACGUGUGCAAGAUCAGAACUUUUUCAUCUAUAAUCUAAAAUUUUAAAUGUUACUUAUAUUCCAGUAAUUAUUUAAUGUGCUGGUAUUUUUUUUUAUCUUGGUUUAGUUUGUGAUCAAUGAGAUAGAAGAGAAUGGAAAGAAUCAAAGAUGGAGGAGUGAGAAAGAAGCAGUAGUGAUGUAUAGAAGAUAGAGAAAAGAGCCACCAAUAAAUUAAUAACGGCUUGAGCCAAAUAUAAGCCAUUUUAAGGAUUCCUUAAUUACAGGAAAAAAAAGUGGGUGAUAUUUCAGUUUAAGUGAUGGCCGUGGGAUUUGAUGAGGUGUAAGGUUGACAUCUUAUGUAAAAAUGUGUGUAAAAGAUCUUGUGUAAACGGAACCCUUCCGAUAUUACAAAUAUAUUUUAUAACAUUUUUAUGGUUUUUUGUACAAGUUUGUUUUCUUAAACCAUCAUGUACGUAAUACAUUGAUGUUGAGGCUUACAUAUAGAUUUGUAGCUUACAGCUGUUUAAGCCCAGGAGAUCAUCUCACAUCUCUGUAGGACACUAGGACGUACUUGAUGGCAUAAUUAAACUUGGGCUUUCUCUAUGUAAUACUAAGUUAUUUAUGUAUUUUUGUUGCUUAUUUUUCAAAGUUAAUUUUACAAGUUUUUAUAUGAUUUUCUAUUCUUAUAUUUACUAUUUUUAAACCUGUCACGAUGCAUGUGAUACAGUGAUGAUGAAGACUACGGAGGAAAAACAAAUAUCAGUAGCUUACUUUGAGUAAGGCCUGGGGAGCAUCUCACAUCUCUGUAGACUUUGCUUGAUGACAGGCUUGUACCUGAUGAAGGAUUAUGUUAGAACUUAAUGUGAAUUGGCUGCCUGGGGGAUCAUCACACAUUUCUAUAGGUUGUGCUUGAAGACAUGUUCAAAUGAGUUUUUUUUUGGUGAGAUUUUGUGAAAAUAUUUAAUUAAUAAUUAUAUCAUUUACUUUUUGGUUCACUCUUUUUAGCAUGUUUUCAUGCACAUCAUACAUAGAUGAUGAAGCUUAUUCUAAGCCUGAGUUUUAACCCAUUGACGAUGCCGAUGAUGGUGAAGAUGAUCCAUGGGCCUUUAUGAUCCGGCAUUCAUCCAAUGCAAUCUUUACUGAGGCAAAAAGAAAAAUAAAAGUAAACAUUAUUUCAAUCCAGAGUGUUGGGCUUGUCUCAAGACUAACUGAGUAACUGUGAUGGGUCGUUGGGACUUGUGGCAAUUGUAGAGUGAAAAGGCAUGUUCUGUGAAGCUAGUGAUGACACCCUGAGUGCAGGCGCACCUACCAAAACUCCCACACAUUGCGCUAGACUAUUGUGGCACGAGAAAUUUAUAUGUGAAAUAGUUCCACUGGUAAGUACUCGACCAUAUUCGCUACAAAGCACUGGUGAAUAACACACAUUGGUGCAGUAAAGUUCCUCCAACCUCAAACCUUUAAAUCUCGGGGUUUGUUGUUUUUAUCAAAACGUAUAAAACUCUAAUAGUUGAUUAUUCUGUUCUAUAGAUUAGAGAAGAUUCUGAAUUGUUGUAAUUGAUUUCUGUUUUGAAAGGUGGGAACCCUAAAUCGAUGUUGGUGGUUGGUAACUUUGAAUGCAAACAUUGUUGGACGACGAGAAGAAUUCACACCUUAAUUGUUGAGGGUUUGGGCAUCUGAGAUUAUUACCUAUAAAGCUCUAGUGUUGAAAGCCUAAUCCUGGAUUGGGAGUCUCAGUGCUGAUAAGGCUGUAGGAAUUGAGAGCCUCAUUUCGGUUUGGGAGUCUCAGUGCCAAUAAGGUUUAUACAAUUCUUCCUUUUGUUUUUGUUAUUAGUUUGCACGAUAGUAGAUGCAUAUGUUUGGAUGGAGGAUCCCGAUUAUUUUGUCUGUUGAUCACAAUGAUGAAGGACGUAAUUGUAGGUUGGUAUGGUAUAUUCUUUAACUGCACGACUUGUUGCUAUAUGAAUGCUGUUAUGAGAGUUGUACAUAGUUGUCUCAUAUAUUACAGAUAUAUGUAAUUUGGGGUUCGCAAAGAAUUCAUCAUUCCCAUAGAAUUAAAUUCUAUAUCUUUUUAUAUAUGAAUCUGUUCUCAGUCA
rnacentral:lncRNA from 1 species